ACUGAACGCUGGCGGCAGGCUUAACACAUGCAAGUCGAGCGGAGAUGAGGUGCUUGCACCUUAUCUUAGCGGCGGACGGGUGAGUAAUGCUUAGGAAUCUGCCUAUUAGUGGGGGACAACAUUCCGAAAGGAAUGCUAAUACCGCAUACGUCCUACGGGAGAAAGCAGGGGAUCUUCGGACCUUGCGCUAAUAGAUGAGCCUAAGUCGGAUUAGCUAGUUGGUGGGGUAAAGGCCUACCAAGGCGACGAUCUGUAGCGGGUCUGAGAGGAUGAUCCGCCACACUGGGACUGGGACACGGCCCAGACUCCUACGGGAGGCAGCAGUGGGGAAUAUUGGACAAUGGGGGAACCCUGAUCCAGCCAUGCCGCGUGUGUGAAGAAGGCCUUAUGGUUGUAAAGCACUUUAAGCGAGGAGGAGGCUACUGAGACUAAUACUCUUGGAUAGUGGACGUUACUCGCAGAAUAAGCACCGGCUAACUCUGUGCCAGCCGCCGCCGUAACAC
rnacentral:rRNA from 1 species